rnacentral:rRNA from 1 species
AGGUUGGCUCAGAAGCAGCCAUCCUUUAAAGAGUGCGUAACAGCUCACUAGUCGAGUGACCCUGCGCCGAAAAUGUACCGGGGCUAAGCCUGAUACCGAAACUGCGGAUUGUAGGAAACUAUAGUGGUAGGGGAGCGUUGUAUACGAGCAGAAGCCGUACCGUGAGGAGCGGUGGAUUGUAUAGAAGUGAGAAUGCCGGUGUGAGUAGCGAGAUGUAGGUGAGAAUCCUACACACCGAAAGCCCAAGGAUUCCAGGGGAAGGUUCGUCCGCCCUGGGUAAGUCGGGACCUAACGCGAGGCCGAAAGGCGUAGUGGAUGGAAAGCAGGCGAAAGAUUCCUGCACCCGUAUAUGGAGCGAAGGAGUGACGGAGACGGAUAGUGUGACCCUCUUAAUGGAUUGAGGGCGAAGCGAAGCGGCUGGUUACCAGGCAAAUCCGGUAACCAAAAGGCUAGAGCGUGACAGGUAAGCGAAAUCUUCGGAAAGUAGCGAAGCACAUGAUGACGGCUUCCAGGAAAAGCUUCUGGCAAUGCAUAUGCGGCCCGUACCAAAACCGACACAGGUGGGCAGGGAGAGAAUCCCGAGGUGAGCGAGAGAACUGUUGCCAAGGAACUCGGCAAAAUGACUCCGUAAGUUAGCGAGAAGGAGUGCUUAAGCAAUUAAGCCGCAGUGAAGAGGCCCAAGCGACUGUUUAACUAAAACACAGCUCUCUGCGAAGUCGCAAGACGAAGUAUAGGGGGUGACACCUGCCCGGUGCUGGAAGGUUAAGAGGAUCUGUUAAGAGCGAUCUGAAGCAGUGAUCCGAAGCCCCAGUGAACGGCGGCCGUAACUAUAACGGUCCUAAGGUAGCGAAAUUCCUUGUCAGGUAAGUUCUGACCCGCACGAAAGGUGUAACGAUUUGGGCGCUGUCUCGGCAGCAGACUCGGUGAAAUCUUAGUACCUGUGAAAAUGCAGGUUACCCGCAACUAGACGGAAAGACCCCAUGGAGCUUUACUGCAGCCUGAUAUUGAAUUCUGGUCAUACAUGUACAGGAUAGGUGGGAGACAAAGAGACGUGCACGCCAGUGUACGAGGAGUCGCCGUUGGGAUACCACUCUUGUGUGACCGGGGUUCUAACCUGGUAUCGAGAACAGGUACGGGGAGAGUGUCAGGUGGGCAGUUUGACUGGGGCGGUCGCCUCCCAAAGAGUAACGGAGGCGCCCAAAGGUACGCUCAGAUUGGAUGGAAACCAAUCGUCGAGUGCAAUUGCAGAAGCGUGCUUGACUGUGAGACAGACAAGUCGAACAGGGACGAAAGUCGGGAAUAGUGAUCCGGCGGUGCCGAAUGGAAGGGCCGUCGCUCAACGGAUAAAAGCUACCCUGGGGAUAACAGGCUGAUCUCGCCCAAGAGUUCACAUCGACGGCGAGGUUUGGCACCUCGAUGUCGGCUCAUCGCAUCCUGGAGCUGGAUUCGGUUCCAAGGGUUGGGCUGUCCGCCCAUUAAAGCGGUACGCGAGCUGGGUUCAGAACGUCGUGAGACAGUUCGGUCCCUAUCUGUUGUGGGCGAAGGAGAUCUGCGGAGAGCUGUCCUCAGUACGAGAGGACCGGGAUGGACCUACCGCUGGUGCACCGGUUGUUCCGCCAGGGGCAUAGCCGGGUAGCUAAGUAGGGAAAGGAUAAGCGCUGAAAGCAUCUAAGCACGAAGCCUACUCCAAGAUGAGAUCUCCCAUUCGCAAGAAGUAAGACCCCUUAAAGACGAUAAGGUAGAUAGGCCAGGGAUGGAAGUGCAGUGAUGUACGGAGUUGACUGGUACUAAUCGGUCGAGGACUUAAUCAG